rnacentral:rRNA from 1 species
UACGUAGGGGGCAAGCGUUGUCCGGAUUUAUUGGGCGUAAAGAGCGUGUAGGCGGCCUGGCAGGUCAGCUGUGAAAACUCGAGGCUCAACCUCGAGACGUCGGUUGAAACCACCUGGCUAGAGUCCGGAAGAGGAGUGUGGAAUUCCCGGUGUAGCGGUGAAAUGCGCAGAUAUCGGGAAGAACACCCGUGGCGAAGGCGGCACUCUGGGACGGUACUGACGCUGAGACGCGAAAGCGUGGGGAGCGAACAGG